rnacentral:rRNA from 1 species
AGAUUGAACGCUGGCGGCAUGCCUUACACAUGCAAGUCGAACGGUAGAGUAGCAAUACUCGAGAGUGGCGAACGGGUGAGUAAUAUAAUCGGAACGUGCCCAGCCGUGGGGGAUAACGUAGAGAAAUUUACGCUAAUACCGCAUACGAUCUACGGAUGAAAGCGGGGGAUCGCAAGACCUCGCGCGAUUGGAGCGGCUGAUAUCAGAUUAGGUUGUUGGUGAGGUAAAAGCUCACCAAGCCGACGAUCUGUAGCUGGUUUGAGAGAACGACCAGACCACACUGGGACUGAGACACGGCCCAGGACUCCUACGGAGCAGACGAGUGGGUAAUUUGGAACAAAGUGGACGAAAGU